CCUAACACAUGCAAGUCGAACGUGAUUGAGAGCUUGCUCUCAUGAAAGUGGCGCACGGGUGAGUAACGCGUAGAUAAUCUGCCUGGUGAUCCGGGACAACACUUCGAAAGGGGUGCUAAUACCUGAUAAGCCCACGGAGUCUUCGGAUUCUGCGGGAAAAGGGGGGGACCUUAGGGCCUUCUGUCACCAGAUGAGUCUGCGUACCAUUAGCUAGUUGGUAGGGUAAAGGCCUACCAAGGCUACGAUGGUUAGCUGGUCUGAGAGGAUGAUCAGCCACACUGGAACUGAGACACGGUCCAGACUCCUACGGGAGGCAGCAGUGGGGAAUUUUGCGCAAUGGGGGAAACCCUGACGCAGCAACGCCGCGUGAGUGAUGAAGGCCCUUGGGUCGUAAAGCUCUGACAGAGGGAAAGAAAUGUGGGUGGCUAAUAUCCAUACCACUUGACGGUACCCUCAAAGGAAGCACCGGCUAACUCCGUGCCAGCAGCCGCGGUAAUACGGGGGGUGCAAGCGUUGUUCGGAUUUAUUGGGCGUAAAGCGCGUGUAGGCGGUUUUAUAAGUCUGAUGUGAAAGCCCUGGGCUCAACCUGGGAAGUGCAUUGGAUACUGUAGGACUUGAAUACGGGAGAGGGGAGUGGAAUUCCUGGUGUAGGAGUGAAAUCCGUAGAUAUCAGGAGGAACACCGGUGGCGAAGGCGGCUCCCUKGGAYCGAUAUUUGACGCUGAGACGCGAAAGCGUGGGUAGCAACAGGAUUAGAUACCCUGGUAGUCCACGCCGUAACGAUGAGAACUAGGUGUUGCGGUAUGACYCCUGC
rnacentral:rRNA from 1 species